rnacentral:rRNA from 1 species
GAGAGGGGUGCUACCUUUCAUAAGGUAGGUAGGUAGAGAAAGGGGGUACCUUUUGGUUUAUAGAACAGGUGCCAGGGAAGGAGAGGUUAGAAAGGGAGAGUUUAGAGAGAUGGGAUCUUUGGUUUGAUUAUGUCUCGUUCGCGCCGCUACCUAGAUUUUUUGUAUGCCCCGGUACCUAGAUCGCAAGGACUAGAUCUAGUCCAACAGGAGCUUAAGUGGGAUUAGUGCUAAACCUAGUUUAGGAGUUAGAAAACUUCAUGUUAAAGACCUAGUCCAAAAGGAGCUUAAGUAGGAUUAGUGCUAAACCUAGUUUGGGAGUUAGAAAACUUCAUGUUAAAGACCUACGGAAUACCUCUAGCCUGGCCUCGUGUUGAUACGGGUAGUCCGUCGGGAACGUGUUCUCUACGGCCUCUUCGCCCUCAUUGGGGUAGCGUACAUCGGGUCAUACACACCGUAGGUUCUUCGACGAAGCUAGCGUCUGAUGUACGAGUCCAGGUACCGUAUCGUAUAUGUAGUACAUGCAGUACCUACGUACGUAUUUUCACUCGAUCCUGCAGUCUGUCCAAUCAUAAGUAACCACAUUAGUAUACGGCACUAUUUGACCAAUUACGUUCAAUCGUUUGGCAGACUCCUUUUUAUCUGUUGACUACCCUAGAGUUUCUAACUUCUAUGACACUAAGUCUAACUCGCUCAUGUAGUUUUCCUUAAUUUACUCAUGUUUAUGGCACUAAGGAUUAUAAAUGUUGAGAACCUUAUAUGUUCUAUCUUUUAAAAUUAAAAUCUGUUGCCCCACUCUUCCAGUUGUUAUAAUUACACCUAAGAAAGACAGCACAACAGUAUCAUUGUAGUUGUUGACAGACUAUAAACUAAAAACACAUAAAGUAUAAUUUUCCUACAUUCAUAACAAUAUACGUAUAUAAAUAAAAUAUCCUUUCAAUUAUAGUCCACGUAUGUCUCAUCAGCUACAAUAGAUAUCCACGUAUGUCUCAUCAGCAACAGUAGACAUCCACGUUUGUCUCAAAUAGACCUAAACUUAUAGUAGUCGAUUAGCACAGGGAAAUGAAGAUGAUACUUCUACCCCACUUUGUAUUUAACUAAACGUUUGUCCCCUUUCUCUCUGGUUUCAUUUCUAAAGUGUCGAGGAUACCUCUACUCCACGGUUAAACGACAUACUUUUUCGUAUUAGACCUCCUUAUGGUUAACAUCGUGAUUUAAUAAUAUACGUGACUUGUGGCUCGUCUUGAGAUAACUUCUUACUUCUACGUACGAGAAUCGAAUAAAGGAACCUUAUUACUACAUGCUACGAAGGUAAACUAAAACUAAACAACAUUUGUAUAUCUAUGUUUAGUUAUGCAAUUAUCGUUUAGGUAUACGGUACCUUAUAUUAAAUACAAACAUCUACGAGAUACAAUCCUCGAGGAAGAUUAAUUUUUCAACAACUCAUUUCGGUUGUCUACUCAUUGAAGAUCUAAUAUUAAAAAAAUAAGGUCCAAUUUAGAUUGUUCUCUGUAGUGGUUGGUUUUUGGAUUGUUGAGUAGUUGAAUCAAUAUUACGAUAGGAUUGACAAUUCUCUGUAUUAUUGAUUUCUUCUAUGUUUAAGAGUAACCCUACUCGAGAUGUUUGUCGACCAUGUACUGUUACAUACACACGACCUUACUCUUUGAGUGUGUGAAGCUUUCUGGAGAGGAAGUUUUGAAAAAAUUAUACCACUACUUUAAGGCUUCUUGUUAAGAAUACGGGUACCCGUGACUCAUUACUCAUUACGUUCGAGCCCAGAACCAUCACCCUAUUUACCUUUUAGUAUAGCUAAUUAUUGAUUUAUGUUUUGAUUUAAACGUCCAACCGGCCACUCGCGACCGUGGUUGGUCUCCUACGUAACCGCGUGUCUCUUCACGAUCAAGUACGGCUACUCGCUACUAACAGUUACCUCUAAUGUACACCGACGCCUUCGUAUUUUUCGUACCACUAUUCUUUCCUAACUAGUCCAAACAUAACAGACUGCGUAAACACGUUCUUGGUUCAUUAACGAUGUCAUGGUCAAUCCAACGAGACCCUCCUGAAGAAAGACGGUAUUCCUAAUUUCGUGGAACUAACUAAGUACCUCCUGCGUGGUUUGUUCCUAAUAAAUGAUAACCUAGAUGGCCGGUCUUUUUGUCUCGUGUGCGGGCACUAACAGGUUCAGGCCUUCCCUGUUCCGGUGAUACAUUAUAUAUAGAGUCAAUCGAGGUUGUGAAUUAAAGGGCACGGAGGACUACAAGAAAUGAUUGAUCUGAAUCCUUACACUCUUUGCAGUAAAACAUCAUACGGAACGACCUCGUUCUAACUUAACGACCU